UUUUUUAUUUUUAUUUUUAUUUUUUUAGCUUCUGGAGGCUGCCUGCAUUCCCUUGGCUGGCUAUGCUUUUCUUGAAUCUCUCUAACCUGUUGCUUCCAUCAUCACAUCUCCUAUUUCUUCUUCUGUAAGCAAGCGUUCCUCUUGUAAGGACACCUGUGAUUACAUUCUGAGCCCAUCCAGGUAAUUCAGGUUGAUCUCUCCAUCUCAGAAUGCUCAACUUAAGCACCCCUGCAAAGUUCCUUUCGCCACAUAAGACAACAUCAACAAAUCCUGGGAAUUAGCACAUGGAUAUCUUGGGGGGCCAUUAUCCAGCCUAUCACAAGACUCUACUACUGACUGAUACUGGAGGGAGGCAGGGAAGUGCUGGGUAGAGAAGAGUGGGGUCCCAGGCGAGGGCUCCACCCUUGGGCCUGUGCCCACAGACCUAAGUGAGAACAGGGAUUCUUGUUUUUGCACCCAAAUGUUGCAUUUCCCAAGACCACUCUGGCCUGCCAUGCCCCCAUCCCAUGGCCAUAUAAACCUGAGACCUUAGCAGGCACAGACACAAGUGGCUGAACAUUGAGAGGAGCAGAGAAAGAGAGUGACAAAGAGUGGGAGUGGCAGGGCGGCACGGCAGAGAAGGGAAGAGGCAUCUCAAUGUCAAACAAGAACGGCAGGACUCCAGAGGAAGAGCGCCUUCUCAUUCCGUGCCCCACUUCUGGUUCUGCAUCCGUCUUGCUGAGAGCCUCCACCGCUCAAUAAAACCUUGCACUCAUCCUUCAAGUCCACGUGUCAUCCGACUCUUCUGGUAUGCUGGGCAAGAACGUGGGGUACAGAAACCCGUCACACUGGACACUGCCCUUACAAUAAGGCACAGGGUCUAUUGAGCUGAUUAACAUAAUCCAUCUGCAGACGGCAGAGCUGAAAGAGCACACUGUAACACACAGCCACCUGGGAUUCAGGAGUCACAGCCAGCCAUCCCUAGAUGCUGCCGUUAGGCCGAAGCCCAAAAGCGCUCCCCAAGGCCUCUGCACCUGCCUGUCUGCAUGCUCCUCCUAUGGGUUUGAGCAACAGGGAGACAAAAGGAGAGAGCCAUACCCUUGUGGCAUGCCCUGCAAGGGGGCUAAGGGAACUCUCAUUUCACUAGUUAUCUUGUGCUCUAAUCAGAACCAUCAUCAAUGGAAGUUAAUGGUUAAAAACCAUUAUCUGUUGUUCAUGUUAUUAGGUUGUAUCCAUUUCCAUUAACAUAGGGUCCUUCUUACAGCUGUCAGCUGUCCAAUAAACCAAGAAUUUGACUAACUUACUGUGUAACUAUGGGAGGUUUUACUUCAAUGACCUCCAAUGAGCCACACACAUCCCAGUGUUGAUGGCCACCCGCAUGACUUUGGGUUAGCUGUGUGACCUAAUUUGGCCAAUGGCAUGUUAGCAAGUAUCGAGGGAAAUUCUCCCCCAGUAAUUCAACGUGAGUCCUUUUCUAUUUUCCCGAAGUGUCGGCUGGUCUGAGAAAUAAAGGGAAAGAGUACAAAAGAGAGAAAUUUUAAAGCUGAGUGUCCAGGGGAGAUACCACAUGUCGGCAGGUUCCGUGAUGCUACCUGAGCCGUAAAACCAAAAAGUUUUUAUCAGCAAUUUUCAAAGGGUCAGGGCGAAACUAGAAUCACUAAUGAACGUCCAUGUCCAGCUGUGCAUGCAUUGUCAUUGAUAAACAAGGUUCAAGAGCAGAGAACCGGUCUGACUAGAAUUUGCCAGGCUGGAAUUUCCUAAUCCUAGCAAGCCUGGGGGCGCUGCAGGACCCUAGGGCGUGUUUCAUCCCUAUUUACAUCUGUGUAAGGCAGACAUUCCCAGGGCGGCCAUUUUAGUGGCCCCACCCUGGGAAUGCAUUCUUUUCCCAGGGCAGUUAAUUAUUAAUAUUCCUUACUGGGGAAAGAAUUCAGUGAUACUUAUCUUACCCGUUUUCGGUAAUAAGAGAA
ensembl:lncRNA